GCCUACGCCGCUUCCCUCCCGCUGGAAGAGGCACCGGCAGCCGGACCACAGCCGAAAGAAAGAAAUGCAACUUGAGCUGGUUGAAAAUGGCCCAUCAGCAGGACCAUCACUGGACCAGCAGCAUAAAGCCAUGUCUUCAGGACAAGGGGGAACGUUUAAAAUUAGGGAGGCCCUCGAGAAAACACCGGAGAGUAGAGAGAUAAUGUGCAGUCUUGACACCAAACGGUGCAUCUCGCUCAAGCAGAGGAGGUCUAUGGUUAGAAUCCUAGUGUCACAUCUCAUGGAGCGGUUCGGAGAGACUCCAGCAUUGGAAACAAGGAAAACCUGGCCUCAUCUUUAGUGACGGAAUUUCCGUAUCUAAGGGAUCAGCAUGGGAACGGCAAUGAGGCGUGGUAUAGUCCAGGUCGAACUCACAGACCAGCAACUGGCUUCGUUGAAGAGCGUUUAAGAAAUGUACGGAAGAGGCUCCGUAGUGGAAAGUGCAGACCUAGCCCUGUGGAGAACCCUGUAACUAAUUGGUAUUGCCAGAGACUGAAAUAUCUGAUGAGAGGGCAGUGGCGAUGACGGAGUGGUUAAGAAAUAACAUCCGACCCCUUAACCAAAUAGAAGAAUACAUGAAGCAGACAGCCAUCCACAGAGCUAAGUGGAUAAGGGAGCAUGGGUCAAAGACAGUGGAGGAGGUCAAAAAAGAGCAUCCACGUCUUUUGGAUACUCCAGGAAUGAUUGCUCAGGACUUUGCCAUUCUACACCCAGCCUGUGCUGGGAAACUUGGAUAACUGGCAGAAAAGUGGAUGCCCGUUUUCAGAGACAGAAAUUUAUGGUUUGCUAGCCAGGAGAAGCAAGCUUCUGGAAUUCUUUCAAGACUGGAUUCUGUGUGUGCAGAUGCGCAAGGUGACAGGGCUGUGAGAUUAUUGCCAGUAGUCCUACCAGCUUCUGUCUAUAGGAUUCUGCCGGAAGACCUUCCGUCUGAGCUGUGAAGAGACAAGAAAGUCAUUCAUUGAUCUACAGCCUACGGAAAAAACCUGAGCUCGCUACGGAAAUUCCUGAGCGGUACCGUGUGACGUCACUGGUGGACAACAGUGAACAGCGCCGCAGUACAACAGCAUUAUGACUGACUGGGACUGAGGAUUUUCCAGCGCUGGUUCUUCAGAUUCUGAUGAUAAUUUGAAAGAGCUGUAAUGUAGAAAUAGACCACCUUAUCACUUAGUCCUGAGACUUUUAGUCAAACCACACCCACAAAAGCAGCUCAUCCUGAGUGUAAACAGUAUCAUGACAACAGCCUAGCAACCAGCUAAACUCAAAUAUAGAGGUACAGUUAUUGUCGUAAAAUUUGCUGGUUUGCUUACACCUCCAUAUUGUUGGAACAGCGCCAGUCUUAAGAUCCAGUUGAAAAAAGUCACAUUUUAUUAGCAGUCUACCUCAAUUUAACAGCAUUUUUAACUGUUUCUCACUAUGCUGAGGUUUUUAUUUUUCUGUUGGGGGUGUCCCAAUGAUGUGUGUUUUAAGGCGUUCUUUGUAUUUGAUAUAAACUACCCCCGACAGUGUUCUUCAGACUGUUGUUUAUGAGCUACCAGGUCAUGAAUCUCCCUCCAUAAGACUCUUGCGGGCAUUUAUUUUUGCCACAGAUCAGUGACAGCUCCCAGAAUGACGCCAUGUGUGUUACCUCUUUUUAUUUUAUUAAUUUCUCAAGCAAAAGAAAAUUUGUUAUUGAAUAAGGUUGCUUGUAAUUGUUGUU